GAUGAACGCUGGCGGCGUGCCUAAUACAUGCAAGUCGAGCGAACAGACGAGGAGCUUGCUCCUCUGACGUUAGCGGCGGACGGGUGAGUAACACGUGGAUAACCUACCUAUAAGACUGGGAUAACUUCGGGAAACCGGAGCUAAUACCGGAUAAUAUAUUGAACCGCAUGGUUCAAUAGUGAAAGACGGUUUUGCUGUCACUUAUAGAUGGAUCCGCGCCGCAUUAGCUAGUUGGUAAGGUAACGGCUUACCAAGGCAACGAUGCGUAGCCGACCUGAUAGGGUGAUCGGCCACACUGGAACUGAGACACGGUCAAGACUCCUACGGGAGGCAGCAGUAGGGAAGCUUCCGCAAUGGGCGAAAGCCUGACGGAGCAACGCCGCGUGAGUGAUGAAGGUCUGCGGAUCGUAAAACUCUGUUAUUAGGGAAGAACAAAUGUGUAAGUAACGAUGAACAUCUUGACGGUACCUAAUCAGAAAGCCACGGCUAACUACGUG
rnacentral:rRNA from 1 species